rnacentral:misc_RNA from 1 species
UUUUUGCUGUGUAGAUCCUCCUUUUCCUUUGAUAAACCGAAUUAGAGAGGCACCUACCUCAAUGGAAAGUGAAUGCUUCUCCAUAGAAAGCACAGACCCUCCUUCUAAAACUUUAUUUUCGGUAUUAUUGUCCAGGGAGCUAGAACUGACAGUUGACUGAGUUACUUCAGUUACAGUCACUUGUUUAGUAUUUGAAAAGGAGCCAGAUGAAAAGUGUACUUCUUGAAGUUGAUCUUCAUUUUCUGACUCAACAGUCACAUCUUUUAUCAGGGAUU